CAGUAGCCGCGGGAAUACAGAGGGUGCGAGCGUUAAUCGGAUUUACUGGGCGUAAAGCGUGCGUAGGCGGCUAAUUGAGUCGGAUGUGAAAUCCCCGAGCUUAACUUGGGAAUUGCAUUCGAUACUGGUUAGCUAGAGUGUGGGAGAGGAUGGUAGAAUUCCAGGUGUAGCGGUGAAAUGCGUAGAGAUCUGGAGGAAUACCGAUGGCGAAGGCAGCCAUCUGGCCUAACACUGACGCUGAGGUACGAAAGCGUGGGGAGCAAACAGGAUUAGAUACCCGCGUAGUCCCUGUCUCUUAUAC
rnacentral:rRNA from 1 species